UCUCCGUUGGUGAACCAGCGGAGGGAUCAUUACCGAGUUAUCAACUCCCAAACCCCUGUGAACAUACCACUACGUUGCCUCGGCGGGACCGCCCCGGCGCCCCUAGCGGCCCGGAACCAGGCGCCCGCCGGAGGACCCAAACUCUUGCUUUGAACAGGGGCAUACUCUCUGAGUCUCAAAAACAAAAAUAAAUUAAAACUUUCAACAACGGAUCUCUUGGCUCUG
rnacentral:misc_RNA from 1 species